UAGUGUGUGUAUUAGUUUAGCUUUCAUAGUGUAAAAAAAAGUUAGCCAUUUGUAAGUAAAUAAGGACUCUAAUUUGCAUAUAUUGUUGAUUCUAAUUAAUCUUAGAUGUAGGUUCCCAACUUGAAGCAACAAUUCUAUCAUUCUAUUGCUCCAGGUGGGCUUGCAGGGGAUCGGCGUGGAGUAGUUCCUGCUUCAGGCUUUUCUUUUAGUGCUCAAGAAAUCUGGAAAAUCAUUAAAGAGAACAAGGAUCUCGACCUUCCUGCACACAAGGAUUGGUGUGAGUUGGAAGAGGCUGUGCUAUCUGGCCCUAUUUCUGGAUUUGGGAAAAGCUCAAUUCACUCCUUAUUGCUUGUCUUCCAGAGGAAGCUAUUAGGCAUUUACGUGGCCUUUAAAACUUUGAAGGGGGUAUAAAAGUUCUACAUAAUGAACGGAACCAUGGAGAUCCACUUUCUUUGUACCUUCGGGCAUUAUGUCAAGAAGGGCCCAUGGAGCUUGCUGUUGCAGGAGUGUCCACUGCCAAUAAGCCUGAAUCGCAAUUGCCCAUUGACUUGUAGAUAUUGAUCAAUUUCGUUUCUAUUAUUGAUACCUGGAAAUCAUCUUGGACAACAAAGUCAUGGUUUUCAUUGGCCAUAUGGUUCGAUUGAAGAGGUCCGGUCCAGGCUUAAUAUUGAUGUUGCUGUCGCAUCUAACUCUCCUCCUGCGCCUGCUCCAAUAGAAUCGUUUACUGAUAUGCACACUUGACACCUCGCCACCGUCCCUGACAUCUCCAAGGUUGGUUGCGCCCGCGAAACCUUCACCGGUGUCGUCUUCCAAAGUGGAUAGUUUCUUCUUCCUAGCAUUGACGGUGAAAAUCCUUUGCUUGCAGUAGCUGUUAUCUACAUUGCCAAUACAGGAGAGGUUAUCAUUUGGUACUGGUAAUUUGCGUUGCUCUGGAAGGUCUUUCAUUAUAGCAAUUCCAGCAUUGCUUGGCCCAACAUCCCAUUCGGCGCAAUGAUGGUCCCCUGGCAUUAAUUUUGGCUCCUAGAAGAGAACUUGCUCAACAAAUAGAAAAAGAGGUG